rnacentral:rRNA from 1 species
UACGGGGGGGGCAAGCGUUGUUCGGAAUUACUGGGCGUAAAGGGCGCGUAGGCGGCCCGCUAAGUCGAACGUGAAAUCCCCAGGCUCAACCUGGGAACUGCGUCCGAUACUGGCAGGCUUGAAUCCGGGAGAGGGAUGUGGAAUUCCAGGUGUAGCGGUGAAAUGCGUAGAUAUCUGGAGGAACACCGGUGGCGAAGGCGGCAUCCUGGACCGGUAUUGACGCUGAGGCGCGAAAGCUAGGGGAGCAACCGGG